rnacentral:rRNA from 1 species
GGUAAUUUUCCGCAAUGGGCGCAAGCCUGACGGAGCAAUACCGCGUGAGGGAGGAAGGCUCUUGGGUCGUAAACCUCUUUUCUCAGGGAAGAACAAAAUGACGGUACCUGAGGAAUCAGCAUCGGCUAACUCCGUGCCAGCAGCCGCGGUAAUACGGAGGAUGCAAGCGUUAUCCGGAAUGAUUGGGCGUAAAGCGUCCGUAGGUGGUUAUGUAAGUCUGUGGUUAAAGCGUGGGGCUCAACCCCAUAAAGGCCAUGGAAACUACAAGACUUGAGUGAAGUAGGGGUAGAGGGAAUUCCCAGUGUAGCGGUGAAAUGCGUAGAGAUUGGGAAGAACACCGGUGGCGAAAGCGCUCUACUGGACUUAAACUGACACUGAGGGACGAAAGCUAGGGGAGCGAAAGGGAUUAGAUACCCCUGUAGUCCUAGCCGUAAACGAUGGAUACUAGGUGUUGCCCGUAUCGACCCGGGCAGUGCCGUAGCUAACGCGUUAAGUAUCCC